UGGGAUUAAAGAUGUGAACCACCGCCUGCUU
rnacentral:piRNA from 1 species